AAAAUUGAAGGUCUAAUCUGCCCAAUGAUAUAUUGAAUGGCCGCGGUAACUUGACCGUGCAAAGGUAGCAUAAUAAUUAGUCUUUUAAUUGAAGGCUUGAAUGAAAGAUUGGAUGAAAAAUAAACUUUAUUAAUAUAAAUUAUUUAACUUACUAUUUAAGUAAAAAUUCUUAAAUAUAUAAGUGGGACGAGAAGACCCUAUAGAGUUUUAUUUUUUUUUAUAUUAUAAAAUUAAAGUAUUAAUAUUUUUAUAAUAUAAAUGAAUUUUUUAUUGGGGUGAUAUUAAAAAUUUAUAAACUUUUAAUUAAUAUUUCAUUAAUAUAUGUAUAUUUGAUCCAAAAAAAAUUUUGAUUAUAAGAUUUAAUUACCUUAGGGAUAACAGCGUUAUUAAUUUGAAGAGCUCAAAUCGAUAAAUUAGUUUGCGACCUCGAUGUUGGAUUAAGAAUAAAUUUUGAAGUAGCAUUUAAAAUUUUGGGUCUGUUCGACCUUUAAAUUCUUACG
rnacentral:rRNA from 1 species